UUAUAGUUAAGAAAUGAAGUGAACUUGGAAUCUGUAAUAUACCGUAAAUUUAGAAAAUAAGAAAAUGUCGAACUUUAGUCAAAUUGACCGAAGUGCGAGGACGGUACACUUCGGAAAGUCCGAAGGUGUUAAAAUGAUUAAAAGCGAGUUACGGGAGGUUUUCGAGAGCUAUAGAAUCAAAUUCUGCAAAACUGCAGAUUUUGAGUU
rnacentral:lncRNA from 1 species